ACUUGAGGGUAUAAUUAGCCGCCAACUGUGCCACUGUAUUUAUAGUCUAGACAUUAAACUAAUCUAUGUUAUUUACGAUUAGCCAAAGGCGACCAACAAUCGGGAAACUGUUCUCCUUGAAUAGAGGAAUAUUUUCGCACCUUUGUACCAGUUGCAGUUGGGGAGCUUAUUGGAGGGCUUAUCGAGCGUCGGCGGUUUUCCCGACUGGUCAGUUGACACACUUGUGGGUGGGUGGUUGCUCCACUCGAACGCCCGGCUGUUGUCUGAUCGGGCGGAAACUGCCAUACACUUUUAUUAAUGGCAAUUGCGGGCCAUAUUCGGCUUUAUCAUCGAGUGCCUCUGAUAAUGGCCGUGCAUAUAACGCUCCAAACACAAUGGCCAUCAAUUAUACAAGUGUUCGAGUGGUAUAUAUUCUAGAAAUAGGAACGCUCUGUCUUCCCAGCGAUUCCCCCAACAAAAUUAGACCCGGUUUGCGCUGUUUUUAGAACGUGCAUCCCACGGAAAAUUGGGCGAACCAUCAAUUACCGGCGAAACAGUGGGUGUGGGUUAGCUAAUUGUUAUGUCGCCGUCGCCGUAGCCGUCUCCGUUUCAGUCUAUUUAUCUGCGAUCUGAUUAGAAGUACUAGGCGAGUCGUGCGACUAGCCUAUUCACACGAUCCUCUUGUCACCGGCAACCUCAACUCACGCGUCGGUCAUGUGACUCCAAAUCUUCGCUCAAUCAUCGGUGCCAAAAAAGCGUGCAAAUAUCAUCUGUCAUUCAAAUCGAGUGGAAUAUUUCCCCAAUUUUGGGCCAACAAUAACAGUCGUCGUAGUUUAUGGCUAGCGUGAGCUGUUUAUUUUUUUUUUGCAUGCAUACUAUUUAAGCGGCCCGGCACGUGUCGCUCGUUAAAGGCUUUUGGGGAAGUUCUAUUACACAUGCUGGGCCUGGUUGCUUCACCUCCCCCACGGAUAUUGCGUGUGAACUAAGCAUGAGGGCAGGAAAUUAUGUCACAGAUCCGGUCUUAAAUGAGUUAGUUAGUAAAAAGGGUUCUUACGAGAAUCUUUAGUUUAUAGCUAGCCACAAUUUGCAACUCUCGCCAUAAUGGAGUUGCAAGUUUAGCUAAUCAUUCCAUUAUCCAUUAUAGACACCCAUGGGUAAAUAACCCCUAUACUUGAAAAAGUAUUUAGCUUCGUCUACAUAUUUGCGAUCGAUUAGCAUAUUGCAUCAGACUGUUUGCAAUCAGCUUCGUCUGCUAGAGUUACGCGUUCCAUUUCACGCUGGAUGUUGUAAGUACUCAACUGUAUCAGAACCAGAACCAGACGGUUUCAAGUCAAUUAACAAAGUAUUGGAUGAUUUAUCUGGGCUAUAUAUAGCUAUAUAUAGGCAACUAUAGGUUAGCUUUAUCGGGUUAUGACUCACCCUAACCAGAUUGGAUCUUUCUCCCGAAGUCCCCUUGGUUAUCAUGAUGGAUGUCGUGGAAUUUUAUUAUCUCAACUGAUCGCUCUUGUGGCUAUCUUAUUUGGUGGCUUGAGUCAUACCCGUCUAGACCCCACGAUUCCUUAUAGAACAUUAAUUAUAUUUUUAAUCGUUCCCCGUCCCCCGCUGUUGUGUCCGGUGGGAAAGCACUUGGGAUUGGAUGUAGAAUUCACUUAUGGCUCCCAUGCCCAGACAUAGUGCUUGCAUAAGCGAUUCGCUUGCAUAAACUGCUUUGCUUAUUAAAACGACAAACGUAAUGACAAUUUUUAAAAAUAAAACGGUUUUCGAUUUCGCAAUCCCUCUCUGGCCUCCCCGUGUGCGGUUCGUGGUUUAUGUUCCCAUGCUCAUUAUUUUGUAGAACCAAACGCCACGCGCAGCCUGUUCGCUGGCGCUGUUUUGGUCAAUUUGUCAAGUCCGACCAGCACUGGCUCGUCUCGUCUAGCGUCUCUGUCUCUGUCUCUGGCUGAUAAGUUCCACGCCCGGUGCCUCGAAUUGCGCAUCAGCCCCUCUGCUCCGGCACUCGCCGGACCAACCACCCAGUCUCCCCACCGUAAGUGUGGUUCUGGUGUUUCAGUCAGAAAACCGAUAACCCGCAAUGGAGUGGAAGUGUGCUGGUCGGCACAGGUACGGAACAUAUGUCUUGCUGGGCAGUGGCGUGAUGGAAAAUGCCCAAAUGCAAUCCGAUCGCCAUCCAUGGGGAUUCAAGAUCUGGCUUUGGGGCUGGGAUUGGCUUGGCUUGGCUUGGCCGGCGGUUCGAGGCGGCUUCAGUUGACCGCCAUCCGAUUGGUUUCGGUCUUAACCAGUUGAAGGUGACUCGAUCACGUUUUCUGGCUAAUACGACACAUGGAGAAAAUAUUUCAACUAAUAUACAUAUAUUUUAUUAUCAUUAAUGUUAGUUCUGGAAUUUCCCAAAGAGUCUAAACACCUUGUGCUUGAUUGAUUAAUUGAACUAUUGUUUGUUGACAACGGAAAUCGUUGUGUUACAUUUUUCUGGCUAAUCCGUAACCCCUCCAAGUGCAGUACCACUCGACUUUGAGAGGCCUGGCCUGGCCUGGCAACGAUCUCUGGCCAAUCGAUCGCUGGGUGUGUCCGUGUGUCGAGGAUUGAUUUCAAUUCGAAUUCCGCUCGUUCAUUCAUUCAUUGUGCUGGCUUCGCUUCGUUCUUUUUUAUUAAUUUACAAUUUUAACGCACACCACUGGGGUGGUAGUAUGCCUGUACGGACUGUACGGAUCGUAUCCCUUGCCGGCCACUAGGCAGUAGGCACUACGGCAGUCGUAAUCGGUUCAAACCGGUACCGGUUGUCUUGGUCUGUUUACACUGAACAAAUGUUCCGUGCGACGCAAAUCUAACAAUGAUGUCGACGCUACUGCUACUGCGGCUGCUGGGGGCUGGGACUGGGACAGCCAUUGAUGAUACUAUAGCAACCAUAUAGUAUUCCCUCAACGAUGCUGAUGACGACGUUGUCAAGUCUUACGACGUCAGUUAGUCGCUCGCGCCACUUUAUUGACUAAAUUCUGUCCCCGGAUCCCCCCUUGGAACCUGUUGUAAAUUCCGGACAUUAGCAUAGCAAACAGUAGUUGCCGCAAAGACUUAUUAAGUAAAUGGAAUUCUAGGCUGCCUUUGAAAUCCCCGGAACAUCAAAAUAAUCAACUAUCUUCUUGGGAAAAAUGGUAAUCAGAUGUUCCCAGAAUGAAUCUAAUACUAGUACAUCUAGUUCUAAGUGAAGCGCUUUAAGCUGAUAAUUCUGAUUUAUAUUUUUAUAGCAUUAUUAUCAAGAAGUCUGACAAAAACAGAAGCCUAAGCCCCCCAUAUUUUUUCCCAGUUUUUCAAGCUAAUGAACUAUUCCAGUUUUAUUUUAUUGACAGACUGCCACAAAUUUGUUAAUUAAUGGACAGUCUGGGGCAGUCUGUGGCUUUUCCGGAAAAAUGGAUCACCCAAACCAGAUUAAACUAAACUUUUCUUCGAGUAAUUCAUGAUCUUUAGAACCUUUUGGGGAGUGCACGGAACCUGUUUGUUUGUUAGCCAGGCAGAUGCUAAAAAUUAAUUAAAUAUUGGCCAAGGCAAAAACCUAAAAUUCAAACUUUAUAAAUUCAUUGAACAAAUUGAGACCAGAGACCAGAAACCAGAUUGAACUGAAAUUAAUUUUCGAGUUGGACGCGAAAACCACAACAUCUAGGGACAGUUCCUCGGCCGGCCGGCCUCCACCACCACCCAGUAGCCCGUGUGGAAAUCUCUCGUGUCACGUGUAAUUAACAAACUGUUGCAUUAUGCAAAUUGCUAAUUAGGCGUUCUCCAGACUUCCACAAGUGUUAAUUGUCUCCCUGGCCCUGUUCACUUUCCCUCCCAAACCUCCAUUAUAAUGCCUCCAUUUCUCCGGUGUGUUCUAGUUUUGUCGAUUCCGGGGGGGAUUGCGCACUUUGUCUGCGGUUGGGAAUUAUUUUUUUGAUACCUCGAUUUUGCGAUUCAAACCUUGGACUAGUGUUCAAUGAGUCGCGCUUUGUUUUGCACUCUAAUCCCAUGGGGGGGAACUCGCCGAUCAAUGUUCCUGACUUUCUAUUACGCCCCAUAGAUUAGCUCUAGACCUCUACAGAGUAAACAAUAAAUAAAUACUGUGGCGGUUCCAUUACAAUUCCCACUAACCGCACCUGAUAUAAGGAAGUUUUGAUUAUGGCUCUCAGAUAUAAACAGAUAUUUCAAAUUAGUUCCAUUUCACUUCCCACUAAUUUCGGCGAACAUUUGGAUUUUCUGAUCCCUGUUGUUUAUAAAUUAAGGGGAGUUUUUAUUGCGCGGAAAUUUUCAGUGCAUAAAAGUUCAAAGUAUUAAGGAAGUUUAAUGGAAUUCCUUAGCUUUAUGAUAUCAUCUUAAUAGGAAGCAUUCAUCCGCAUUUAUGAUAACCUUUUGGAAAGUUUUUAUUAUAUAGUUUUGAUAUUUUUUUUAUCUUGGAAAUAGCAAUGUAAACUGAGAGUUUCUUAGACUGUUUGGUAGUUUAUAACUCUUACGUAUUAAUUUUAAACCUAAUCUAAGUUUAGGGGCUUUUAUCUUCCAUCAUUGCAAUCAACUUUGGCGAAGGCUAGCCAGAAGUUCGAAGCUGACAACGCCAUUUAAACCGAAUAGAACAUAAUCUAUUUUUAACAAUUUUUGCAAUUCGGCGGACUCCCCAAAUUAGUAACUGUCGCUUGUUAUAAUUUAUUGAAUGGUAUUUAAGGUGUUGUUUUUGCGACUGUAUUGAUUUAAUAGCCUUCUUUAUGGCAAACAAUAAUGGAAAUUGUCAGCCAAUAACUCAUCGUGCUAGUUAUCGAGUAAUGCAGCUCCCAGAGACAGCUUACAGAGAAUUACAAAAUCCUAAGGCUAAGGUCGAGUACUCAAGAUCGCAAUGUGGCUGGCCCACCUGGUGCAACCUUCUUCGAGGCGAUGGGGGUAUUCAGUCAUGGACGGGGACGUGACUUUGUAACAGAGAGUAUCAGUCAUAGCUGGGAACCCUGAUCUAGAGUAACCCAGGGCUAUAUGGGGUGUAUAUUGCGAGAUAAGCUGUCAUCAGCCUAUUUAUAGGGCCUCUUCUCCCAGAGAACAUUGAGAAUAUCAGUUUAUCUUUCACGGUAUGCAAAUUCAUUAUGCGGAACUCUUACAAAACACAAGGGGAGCACAGAGGAGGCCAAAGGUCAGGGUCAGCCGGCGGCUAGCUGGCUAGCUAUCUAGCUAUCUAGCUUAUCCAAACCGCGACAGAUUUUUGCGCCAUUCUAAUAAUUGCCCUUGUCAACAGUAUUGUAUCCGACGACCCCGAAAAUGGGGAGCUCGUAAAUCUUUCCAUGCAGAGAUACAAGGGGGGAGGUGCUCUCUAAGUGCACUAUAGAACUUAUACGUCUCGGUUUUAAUGGCCACUUUCAUUGACUGGCGAUGAUCAGACAGAGACACGCCCUGUUUUGGCAGUUUACCCAGAUUUUCGAAUGGGUACUUUUCCCCCAUUAAUUAAGUAAACGGUUUCCAUAGUACAGCCGCAGGUUAAAAUUCCGAAUUCGGGUUGUUUACACUCGCAAGUCGAUCUCGGGGCGGACGAGGAAAUCCCGUGGAACGAGUUUGUCGCAUUCAAGCGAAAUCAUUAGCAUCACCAUGUGAUGAUGGAAGCCCCAAUCUGAAGUCGAUGGAGUAUUAAACUGAGGCGGCAGACUCUUGCCAAAGAUUUGUAGAUUCCCCGUAACAAGUAUGAAUGAUUCAGCCGCCCACCUUACCAGCUCAUGAUCGAUAUUAAAAUCGUAAAAAAAACAAAGCCAAGCUUCGUCGAAAUCGUAUUAAAAAUUGGUUUAUUCUUUUUUAUUUUUGGGCUCGGUUCCUGAUUUUGUUGGGUAUUGACGUCAAAAGCGGCCAGCAGUGCCUUUGUUUUUGCAUUUGACUGUGACGGAUCCAUCCACAUGUGUGCUGCUGUAUUUACACACCAGCCACAACAUCCAUCCACAACACAACAAUUAACAGAUACUUUCAGGAGCAGCUUUGUUUGCAUAGCUGCGGAGCACCAACCAACAGAGAUCCAUUCAAAACAGAGAGUUGAAACCGAAGCUCUGGCCGGGGCCAAAUCGAAAAGAGGAAGCGCAUGUCUUUGAGCAGCACUCGACGAGUGGCUUAUUGUAGUAUAUUAUUUAUUUGUGCAUAAUUCCAAGCAGUUAUCUUGGCAAACAGCAACUAGCUGGCCUGGCCUGGCAGUGGCAUUAGCGAACUAGCAAUACCCUGAUACCACACCAGCCAGACCAAGCUGGGUAAAUAAAUUGCAUUUCCAACUGAAACAAUGCCAGUUUUCCUGCUUCAUGAUUUCUACCACUUCUGUUUAUCAAAUAAAAAUAAUAAUACAAAUUAAUUAAUGGUGUUAGCAAGCCAACUCAAAAGUCAUGAUCCACAUAUUAGUUAAAAUGUGCGUAUUUAUCUCCUCAAAGUUAAUUAAUUAAUUUCCCAGAACACAGAACUAAUGGGAGGUGUUAGGACGUCAUUUUUUUUUAACUAUCUACUUCAAAAUAUGUAGUAAAAUAAAAAAGCUAUGAACAAAACUUAACAAAACAAAGCUUAGCAACUAAAAAAUAAUAAAAAUUACAGCAAUGAUGUUGUGUUGAUUUAUGUCUAUUAAAUCAUGGGUUUGUUUUUCAAAUUACAAAUCUAUUUGUUCAGUAACCACUAAAUAUUUUAUAUUUUAAAAACUUACUUCAUCUCUAGCUCUCUCUAUUAUAUUUGUUUGGCUUUCAAAAAUGGAUCAAAUAUUAGCAUAACCCUAUGAAUUCCAAGAAUUCAUUCAAAAAACCCCUUUUAGAUUAAAUAUUUUAACAAAAUCCAUCCAUAAACAUUUAUUUGUUAUAUUGAAUACUUGUAGUUUUUAGCAGCCUUAUAAAUCAAGCGAUAUCUUAUCUUAUCUAAUAGCAAUAUAAACUAACAUUUGUGGUCUUUUGUUCCAAUAGAUCAUCCGGUUGUGAAAUAAUUUUUAUUCGUACAUAAACAAGAGUUUAUAUUGAGGAGUAUAACUCUCGAUAUCUGGGCAGACGGUUGGGAUAUAUGUUUAGCCGGAAAUCUUUGAUCGGGUCUUUGGGGUAGAGUAUAAAAAUAUACACAAAAGCCGGGCCGCAGUACUUAAUAAGUUUUUAAAAGGUUUGCGAAAAAAUAUUGUUUAAAUAUUGUUAUUUUCGGACUAAUAUCCUCACGUUGUCUGACGCAAUUUCCGCUGAGGUGGAACACUGUCCCUUGUCUUCGUUCGGUUCGCACUGUUUUUGUGUGAAUUUCUCAGGCCAUUUUUGCCCAUCAAUUGCCGUGCGACCUUCUCAGAUGACAAUGGUCCCUCCACACAUACACUUAAAAUCAAAGUUUAGCCAUCUGACCCCCCCUAUUAUGCAAUUUGCCAAUAUUAUACAAUUUAAUAUUUAAAUUAUAGCAGACGAUCAUGUAAUAUAUUUGCAUUUCUCAUGGAAAAGUGCUCUCAAAUGUAAUUUGAUCCGAGUUCUACACUUUAAACUUUGAUCAUAUCAAAAUCGAAUAAUCUGAUGUAAUUAGCUUAUUAAAUUAAGGAAGAAUAGUAAUACAUUUCCCGCAGUGUACUUGAUGGGCGAAACUGCGCCUCGACACUAAAGUUGAAUGCCAGGGGAAAAGCGUGCCCGGAUCGCGAGGGUUCUGUUCUUGCUUUCUAAAUAAACAUUAAUUGUUUAUAAUAUAUGUGCCAGAGUGUGAUUGCUGUCCGAGAAUAUACGAAUAUGAAUAUGAAUAUAUAUUCAUAUUCGCCGCUUGUGGCAGUUAAGUUGACCGUCGUUUCGGACGCUGAAUUGCAUUAAUUUGGCGAGGGUCGUUGGGGGUUUUGGCUUUUGGAUAUAUAGCCCCCAGUGGGCUUUGAUUUUUUUUCGGGGUGUGUGCUCCCUUUUCGUUGGUCUGGCGAAAUUUGAAACGCCUUUUGAACGACGCGCGCGCCUUCACAGCUCGGUUUAUAUAAAUAAGUGUAGUCGACUCGACUCGAUCGCCGUCUAGCUGCACUUUGGAAACCUUUUUUCCUAUUAACAUGCCUACGUUAGCAAAAAUUUCCAUUCUGUUCCCCCAUUGGGGCAAUGGGUUGGGGACUCUCCGGGACUUACCCUGUCUUUGUAAUAUGCAUACCAAAUGUGUUCUACCGUUACACUUUUUUUUUUAAAUAUAAAAAACAUAUGUACCUCAAAAAAGGGGAGGGAGGCUCUGCUGAUAAGAUUGGCGAUCGAUUGAUAAGCGAGUGAGGUAUGCGUGCAUAUGUACCGUCUUUCGCCUUCUAUAUUUAUGGCGGGGAAAAAACCUGCACAGCAAAAAAAGGUUCUAAAAUCUUAAAAAAUAUUUUCCAUUUUAGAUUAUUGUGCUUUCUAUGUCUAAAAAAAAACAUGUUUUUAUUAUAAGUUGCUCUAAAAACAAAUGGUGGCAGCUAUUUUUAAUAAUUGGAAUGGAAUUUUCCAUUUAGGAUUCCCGGGAAUAGGGAUGUGUUGUUACCUGUGGACUCUUUUUGAGGAUCACACCUUAGGCCUACCACCUACCUCUGAUCUCUGCCCUUGGCCAUUCACUCUUCUUUUCCACCUGCCCACCUUGUAUUCACGGACUCUUGCCCGAGAACCCGAACCCGAACUAUCCACGUCCCUGCCCGUGUCCCUGUCCUUGCCCGGCUCUUGCCGCUACCUGUCAAAGCGAGAAAUGAUUUGUUAUUCAAAUGAAAUGCGUCCGUCGAUGGUGGUGACGGUUGCCAAGUCGCAUCUUGUUGUUGCCGUCUUCUUGGACGGGCCCGACGGGCAUGCGUCAAUAACCCUCCUGACGAUUACACCUAGUCAACGUACUAGUGUCCGUCCCGUCCGGUCCGGUCCGGUCAAUGUGUCGUAUACGUACUGCAGCUAUGCAGAUAGGGGUGUAAGUGUAGGGGAAGGUGCCGUCCGCUGUGCUUGACCGUUAAAUGUUCACCCCUCGCUGCCCCUCGCAUCACUCACACUAGGGAAGUCCCCAAGAUACUCUAAAGGUGAGGGGAGAUCAGUUUCGUUUUUAAUAUAUUUUAUUAAUAGAAAUCUAAAUAAAUCGAAAAUCUUUAUAGUUCUAUAUUUUUUGACAACUAAACUAAAAGAAAACUAUCUUAUCUGUCGAGAUACAAAAGUAUCUGAACCUCGUACCGGGUAUCUCACAUUCGUUAUCACUUGUCUUUCUUUCUGGUUUUGUUUUGAUUUGUUAUCACUGCUGCUGUCCCUCUCGCUCUCGCCAAGAGAGAGCCGCUCUUUGUCUCUCAGAGGCUCCAGCCUGUUGGCAACUACCGCUAAUUUGGUCAGCAUCUGACUUUGUUUUGGCUUUUGAUUUGCCCCCCAAGCCCCUUUCACCCACCGCCCAACGACCCCCUGAUCCACCCCUCCCCCUUGUUUCGUCGUGUGUGCACGAGUGUGUGUGCGUGUUGGGGAUGUGGCAAGUUCGUUAGCUUCGCUUUGUCAUGCGAGGCGAGCAAUAUCACUUGGCGCUCUCUUGUUCUCUUGCUCUCCCUCUCGUUGGAGGCCCCCCAACUCACGCCUGCCCACCACCUCACCCUCCCACUCUCAGCUCUCUCAGCUGGCCGCGGGGCCUAUAAAAGCGGGCCGCACUCGGCGAGCGUCGUUCAUUUGAGUUUCGCGGUUUGUCGUGCCUGCCACUUGGUCUUUCGGCUCUGGUGAAAAUAUAUAUCCGAAUCUGGAGAAAAUCAAUUCCCAAGCCCAACUAUAAAAGUGCGCUGUUGCCUCUGUCAAAUCGAACACAACCUGGAUACAUGUUCUAAAAUACAAAACAAAAAAAAAGCUGAUAUAUAAACUGCAUAUUGCAUUUUUCAUGAGCUAACUGUCUCGCA